CCUACGGGGGGCAGCAGUGGGGAAUAUUGCACAAUGGGGGAAACCCUGAUGCAGCGACGCCGCGUGAAGGAAGAAGUAUUUCGGUAUGUAAACUUCUAUCAGCAGGGAAGAAAAUGACGGUACCUGACUAAGAAGCCCCCGCUAACUACGUGCCAGCAGCCGCGGUAAUACGUAGGGGGCAAGCGUUAUCCGGAUUUACUGGGUGUAAAGGGAGCGUAGGCGGUGCAGCAAGUCAGAAGUGAAAGCCCGGGGCUCAACUCCGGGACUGCUUUUGAAACUGUUGAACUAGAUUGCAGGAGAGGUAAGUGGAAUUCCUAGUGUAGCGGUGAAAUGCGUAGAUAUAUGGAAGAACACCAGUGGCGAAGGCGGCCGCCUGGCCUGUUACUGACGCUGAGGCACGAAAGCGUGGGGAGCAAAUAGGAUUAGAUACCCUUGUAGUC
rnacentral:rRNA from 1 species